UACCAGCACCCCAAGUGGUCGGGACGAUUAUUGGGCCUAAAGCAUCCGUAGCCGGUUCUACAAGUCUUCCGUUAAAUCCACCUGCUUAACAGAUGGGCUGCGGAGGAUACUAUGGAGCUAGGAGGCGGGAGAGGCAAGCGGUACUUAGUGGGUAGGGGUAAAAUCCGUUGAUCCAUUGAAGACCACCAGUGGCGAAGGCGGCUUGCCAGAACGCACUCGACGGUGAGGGAUGAAAGCUGGGGGAGCAAACCGG
rnacentral:rRNA from 1 species